CACACACAGAGAAGACUCCAUCUACUUUAGGCAGCUUUCCGGAGCCUUGGGAAAAAGUUCACCAUAGAUCAUCAGCUUCUGUUGGUCCUUGCUGCUUAUCUACUCCAUGUUCUCCAGCUUUUGGACCCUUGGAGUUACACCCAUGGUAUGCCAGGGGCUCUUGGGCCUUUGGCCACAGACUGAAGGCUGCACUGUGAGCUUCCCUGCCUUUGAGGUUUUGGGACUCAGACUGGCUUGCUUGCUACUCGGCUUGAAGAUGGCUUACCGUGGGACCUCACUUUGUAAUGACACAGUGAAAAGGCACCAUUAAGGAACCAGAAAGCAGGCCUUCACCAGACCUACAGUCUGUCAGCACCUUGAUUUUGGACUUCCCAGCCUCCAAAACUAUGAGAAAUAAAUUUAUGUUGUUUAUAAUCUACCUAGUUUAUGAUAUUUUGUUACAGAGCCAAAGCAGGCUAAGAUUGCAGUUUCUAGAAUUUUAUAAAAAUGGAAUAUUAUAGUAUAUAUUCCUUUGUGUCUGAUUUUUCUAACUUAGCAUAAUAAUUUUUAAAAUCUUUCAUGCUUUUUUAUGUGUCAUUGGUGUAUUACUUGUAUUACUGAGUACACUUCUAUUCACCCGUUGGUUGGAUUUAAUUCAAAUUCCCGUCUACUGUAAAUCAAGUUCUGAUGAAUAACUGGCUCCAAAUCUAUGUGGGAAUAUAUGAUUUCCUCUGUCUUGGUGGAAUACUUAGGCAUGGAAUGUCAAAGUUAGAGUGUAUAUUUAUAUUUGAAUCUUUAAUGAACUGCUGCAUACUUUUCCAGAGUGGUGUAGUUCCAUUUUACAAUCUCUCCUCAGCUGUGUAGGAAUUACUAUUGUUCUUCAUUGUUGUUAACAUUUGAUAUUGUCAUGUUUUUGUUGUUCUUUCUGGCACUUUUGAAGGGCAUAAAAAUGGCAUCCUAUUGUUUUCUCUUAAAUUUUAAUAAUUAAUGAUGUUUUCACAUAGGCUUAGUUAUCCAUUAGUCUUAUUUUAUAAAAUACUAUUUUGUGAAUUUGUUGGGGUAGUAGAGUAUUAUAUAUAAGAUUUUUAAACGUAUUCUGAAUACAAUAACUUAUUCAGAUGUAAGUGGUGCUACAUGUUUGCUAAUUCUGUGGUUUGCCUUAUUUUCUUAACUAUGUAUUUUUUAGAGUUUUAAUUAGAAAAAGCAUAUUUUUUUAAUUUUUAUUUUAUUGUUUAUUUUUUGUUUUCAUGAAAUUGUCUGAUAAUGAAAACUGUGAAAAAAAAAUUUGUUUUUUAAGCUAUCCAGUGAGUGGUAUUUUACGAUGGCAGCUUCUAGUAAGAGUAAUUCAAUAUAUUUUAAAGUUAUUUGUGUAUAUCUUGUAUUUUUAAUUGAUCAAAAUAAUCAGUGCUUCUUUAGUACUGUUUGUUUUGUUUUGUUAAUCAUAGAGUUUACUAUUAGUGUCAAUGAAUGUUAGCAGGAAAAGAAAUUAGGAUUAUUAUUUUAUGUUUAAAUUAAAAUUAAUAUGUUUAAUAUGUUUAAAUGCCUAACAUUUAAGAAAUAGAUACUAAUCAAUUUAAAAUUUAACAAGGCACAUUAAUUUCCCUUGACUGGUGAAAGGCUCAUUUAAUGUGUUAGGGGACAAUCAUAAUGAGUCAUAAGUUAUCUUCAGUAAUUAAGAUCAUAGGUAACAACAAAGAUAAUAACCUUAUAAUAUUUAAUAGAAAGUAUGCAAGCAUUGGCUUAUUAUUCUCUAUCAUGUCAUUCAUUAACAGGAACCACUUACUUAUUUUUUCUUAGUGGUAUAUCCUAGAUGUUUGCAUUUUGUAUUGCAUAUUCAAGUAAAUGAUAUUAUUUAUAGUGUAGACUUUUGUUUAUGAUUGCCCCAUUUGAGAACACACAUUUUUAGUAAAAUAUGAAACAAAUUUGUUUAAACCACUUGAAGCCUGGGAAUUUCUUCAGCUCUGGAAUCAGAAAACCAAAUGUAACAUUCUAGAGAGACUUUAGUGUAUUUAUUUAUAAGUUAUAUAGCCAAUUGAUAUGGUUUAGCUCUAUGUCCCCACCCAAAUCUUAUCUCAAAUUGUAAUCCCCAUGAUCCCCACAUGUGAAGGGAGGGACUAGGUGAGAAGUGGUUGGAUCAUGGGGGCAGAUUCCCCCAUGUUGUUCUUAUGAUAGUGAGUUCUUAUAAGAUUUGAUGGUUAUUUAAGGCAGUUUUCCCUGCUCUUGCUUGCUGUCUUUCGUCUGCCACCAUGUAAGAUGUGCCUCUUUAGCCUUCGGCCAUGAUUGUAAGUUUCCUGAGGUCUCCUCAGCCAUGCGGAACUAUAAGAUAAUUAAACCUCCUUUGUUUAUAAUCUUUAUAGCAGUGUGAGAAUGGACUAAUACAUCAAUUAAACGAUAUUACAAACAAUAGUCCAAGUUAUAUAAUAUUGUGUUGUUUGUGACAAAACAGUUUUUGGGGAUCGAUAUUUCAUGUCCUUUAUAAAAUGAUUUUAUAAGUUAUCAUUCUUUUUCUAUGCCUGGAAAUAGUUAAUAGCACUGGGAUUAUCAUAUUUUAAAAGAUUUAAUAGAAUUUCCAUGUGAGACAACCUUGAUGAAAGUAAUAUUUGUGGGAGAUUUUUCAUUGUGUUCUCUAUUUAAUGUAUUAUGUAUAGUUGGC
rnacentral:lncRNA from 10 species